rfam:Microscilla marina ATCC 23134 1099589004116, whole genome shotgun sequence.
GCUUACGUGGUGGAAUUGGUAGACACGCUAUCUUGAGGGGGUAGUGCCUAUUACUGGCGUGGGGGUUCGACUCCCCCCGUGAGCA